UACGAUAGUGCGGAUACGUGAGAUGGGUGU
rnacentral:piRNA from 1 species